AGAGUUUGAUCCUGGCUCAGGAUGAACGCUAGCGACAGGCUUAACACAUGCAAGUCGAGGGGCAGCAUGAGGUAGCAAUACCUUGAUGGCGACCGGCGCACGGGUGAGUAACGCGUAUGCAACCUGCCCGAUACCGGGGUAUAGCCCAUGGAAACGUGGAUUAACACCCCAUAGUACUUUUAUCCUGCAUGGGAUGUGAGUUAAAUGUUCAAGGUAUCGGAUGGGCAUGCGUCCUAUUAGUUAGUUGGCGGGGUAACAGCCCACCAAGACGAUGAUAGGUAGGGGUUCUGAGAGGAAGGUCCCCCACAUUGGAACUGAGACACGGUCCAAACUCCUACGGGAGGCAGCAGUGAGGAAUAUUGGUCAAUGGACGUAAGUCUGAACCAGCCAAGUCGCGUGAGGGAAGACUGCCCUAUGGGUUGUAAACCUCUUUUAUAAGGGAAGAAUAAGUUCUACGUGUAGAAUGAUGCCUGUACCUUAUGAAUAAGCAUCGGCUAACUCCGUGCCAGCAGCCGCGGUAAUACGGAGGAUGCGAGCGUUAUCCGGAUUUAUUGGGUUUAAAGGGUGCGUAGGCGGUUUAUUAAGUUAGUGGUUAAAUAUUUGAGCUAAACUCAAUUGUGCCAUUAAUACUGGUAAACUGGAGUACAGACGAGGUAGGCGGAAUAAGUUAAGUAGCGGUGAAAUGCAUAGAUAUAACUUAGAACUCCGAUAGCGAAGGCAGCUUACCAGACUGUAACUGACGCUGAUGCACGAGAGCGUGGGUAGCGAACAGGAUUAGAUACCCUGGUAGUCCACGCCGUAAACGAUGCUCACUGGUUCUGUGCGAUAUAUUGUACGGGAUUAAGCGAAAGUAUUAAGUGAGCCACCUGGGGAGUACGUCGGCAACGAUGAAACUCAAAGGAAUUGACGGGGGCCCGCACAAGCGGAGGAACAUGUGGUUUAAUUCGAUGAUACGCGAGGAACCUUACCCGGGCUUGAAAGUUAGCGACGAUUCUUGAAAGAGGAUUUCCCUUCGGGGCGCGAAACUAGGUGCUGCAUGGUUGUCGUCAGCUCGUGCCGUGAGGUGUCGGGUUAAGUCCCAUAACGAGCGCAACCCUUACCGUUAGUUGCUAGCAUGUAAUGAUGAGCACUCUAACGGGACUGCCACCGUAAGGUGAGAGGAAGGCGGGGAUGACGUCAAAUCAGCACGGCCCUUACACCCAGGGCUACACACGUGUUACAAUGGCCGGUACAGAGGGCCGCUACCAGGUGACUGGAUGCCAAUCUCAAAAGCCGGUCGUAGUUCGGAUUGGAGUCUGUAACCCGACUCCAUGAAGUUGGAUUCGCUAGUAAUCGCGCAUCAGCCAUGGCGCGGUGAAUACGUUCCCGGGCC
rnacentral:rRNA from 1 species